rnacentral:misc_RNA from 1 species
AACUGAUACUACCUGCGGGAACCUGCGGAGGGAUCAUUACUGAAGUGAUUUGGGGAUGUUGCUGGCCCUCUCUCAAGGGGGGGCACUGUGCACUCCUCGAAACAAUUCACAAUUUCCAUCACACCCCUUGUGCACACCUUGUAGGCACCCAAACCCACCUCCGGGUGGUGGGGUCCUAUGUAUUCCUCCAUCUCACACUCUGUUGAAUGGUGCCAUGGGACGCAUCUAAAGGAUUAUUUG